rnacentral:lncRNA from 1 species
AGCGCUUUUUGGGAGGCAACAUAAUUUUUUUUUACUUUGUUCUAACUGAUCUUCAUUCUUUUUAGAAAUAAAGGACCGCUCUUAUGGAAGCACCUGAUGAUAAAUAUAGUCUAGCCAAAAAUAAUAAACUUAAUACUUUUUGGGAGACAAUCUAGUUUUAGCUUUUGCUUUUUGAUAUUUUUUGUAUUUUGUUUAGGUUAAUCGAGUCUUGCUUCGUAUCUUUUAUAAGAAUUUGAGGAUAAUAUUGACUAAGUUAGGAAAAGAACUAUUUUUGAAAAGACAUCUGGAUCAGGUGACAUCUCUCUAUUUUUUUUUAUGCAUCUUUCAUUUUUUCUACUCUAUUGAGGAUAAUGUCGAUUAAAUUGAAGGGAGAAUAAUAAGAAAUAAAAAUUUUUAAGUCCUCAAGUAAGUUAGUAUUUAGCAUUUAAGCACCUGAUUGUAAUUAAGAAUCGAAUCAAACCAAAUAUUUUUUUAAAAAAUAAUGUACAGGCUAG